UAAUAUUUUUUUUUACUUGAUUUUCCAAAAAAAAAAAAGUAUAUUCUUCGCUUUUCUUAUACAUAAUUCGCUAGCAAUUAAUCAAUUUAUUACACUAUGCAGAGAAAUAUUGAUAACAGAAAAAUUCACUGCUAAUGUUAAUAAUCAAGCCCCGCUACUGUUAACCUCAUAACAGAGAGAAGAGUACAUGCGCUGUUAUUGUUCUCUAGUCAAACAAAUGUAUAUGUAUAAUUAUUUUAUCAUUUCCUGUCAUACGUGUAUGUAUGUGUGUGUAUGUGCGUGUAUGCGGCCAUCGUGCACAGUAGUAGUUGAAGAAUUUGUAGGUAAGUGCCUGCCGCUUUUUAUAUCAAUUCAGUUCACUUUCAGCCAGCGAGUUUUACAGUUGAGAAAUUUCUUCUGCGUUUAUAUAUAAGCAAUGUUUGUUGAAGGAAAUUAUUGCGUUAUAAACAACGUGCACCAAAAUAAUUCAAUUUGAGUUUAUAAAUAAUAAUUAUAAAAAGUGCUACAAAGUUUAAGAAAAUACACAAUUUAAAAUAUUUACAUACAUGCGUUGUAUAUUUACAUAUAUAUACAUAUGAAAUUUGUGUAAUCAAGACGUGCGGUUUAGUGGGUGUGUCUCAACAAAGCAACUUUUAAGUUAUUAAAAAAAGUGUUUUGUGUAGUGAAAUUUCACGAAUUUUGUAGCUCAAAAAUUUCUUCGUUUUUCAAACUACAUACAUAUAUAAAACUAAAAUACUUUAUUUAAAUAUACAUACAUAUAUAUACGAGUUUGAAAAAAAAAAUUUAACACCCAAGUUGAGGAAGAAAAAGAGAUGUGUAGCCACUAAAAAACCGGUUGGCUUUGUAAGCAUUUGAACUGAAUAAAAAAUUAUUAUUUCUCUCUGACAAUAACUUAAAAAAGUCGCGUAAAAGUAAACAAACAAACAAAAAGUAAAAGGAGAAAUAAUAACUUGCAAGCAAUAACAACAUCGGCCUACAACCAGUUGGUUGCCAGUCAGCUUGCAACUGUGACAGGUUUGAAGGAAAUUAACAUAUGAGAAAUGGAGAAGAGUUGUUAAAAAUAAAAAUAUAUAAAUACACUUAAAUAAUUGUGUGAUUGCAAUUAUUUUUUAACUUUUUGAAGUAGUGGAGAGUUGAUUUUGUAGCAAAGAAAAAAAUUAUAAUACAAAAAUCAAAACUUGUGCAUUGUAAAAAAUUGUGAGUGAAUCCAUAAAAUCCAAAUAAAUACAAGUUUAUAAAAAUAAAAAUUUAUUGUUACAUAUUUCAAAUGCAUAGCAAUAUUUACCGGUAAACAAAUCAUUACGUCGUUCAACUGUCGCUUUGACAACUGCAACACGUUCAGCUAUAGAUGCAACAACAAAAGUAUUUAUCAUAGUUGAAAUAUUUGUAACAAUAGCAACAACUUCCACAUUCUACAUUUAUAGAUAAAUCGACGGCAUUUGUUGCCGCUGCAACGCAUGUGGGAGUAGAGCAACUACGUACAUACAUAUAUAUGUAUAAAUUAACUUGGUUGGCUUCGCUGUAUUUCUUUAAUAAACAACAAAAUACUACAAAUGUAGAGAGUAGUUGAGGUUUCAACAGCGGCAACAACUAAGUGAGACAACAACAAAAAAAAAACGAAAACUUAAAGCGUUGGCUGCAACAUCGCAGUCAACAACUGAGAACGAAAACUGUGUGUGCGUAUGUGUCAAAAGCAUUGGAAAAAAGUAUUUAAACAUAACCAACUAUAAACAUACAUAUAUACAUGCAAAUGUACAUUAAAAGAACAGCAGAAGAGAGAGAGAGAGCAAGGUGCAGUGAUAACUAGAAGUCAACUCCAACUCUGUGAGCAUCUACUGCUACGAGC